CACACCACCACCACCAUCACACCACCACCACCAUCAUAUACCAUCACCAUCAUCACACCGCCACCACCAUCAUUACCAUCACCAUCAUCACACCACCACCACCAACAUUACCAUCACCAUCAUCACACCACCACCACCACCAUUACCAUCACCAUCAUCACACUACCACCACCAUUACCAUCACCAUCAUCACACUACCACCAUCAUUACCAUCACCAUCAUCACACCACCACCACCAACAUUACCAUCACCAUCAUCACGCCACCACCACCACCAUUACCAUCACCACCAUCACACCACCACCACCACCAUCACCAUCAUCACACCACCACCACCACCAUCACCAUCAUCACACCACCACCACCACCAUUACCAUCACCAUCAUUACACCACCCCCACCAUUACCAUCACCAUCAUCACACCACCACCACCACCAUUACCAUCACCAUCAUCACACCCCCACCAUCAUUACCAUCACCAUCAUUACACCACCACCAUCAGUACACCACCACCACCAUUACCAUCACCAUCAUCACAUCACCACCACCAUCACACCAUCACUAUAAUUACCACCACCAUUAUCACAUCACCACCAUUAUCAUCACCAUCAUCAACAUCAUACCACCACCAUCAUCAUCACAUCCUCUUCCUUGAUGUCUUAUCUCCAUGGCGUGUACACUGGAUGUAGAAUAUAGUCUUGCUGGGUACUACGGGAGCUGUAUCUCAGUAGAAGGAAUGAAGACUAGCUCUUGAUAAGCUGAAAAUCCCUUAAUAGCCUACAUUCUAAAUACGCAUAUUCAUUGUACCAGGGGUUUCUAACCUUGCUUUGAUGAUAUCCUAGUGUCACUGUCUCAAAACCAAAUUAAUUUUGGACUUGAG
rnacentral:lncRNA from 10 species